rnacentral:rRNA from 1 species
UUACCGAUGAUAUUUGUCCAACAAAUACACAGUUGUACCUUGUGAACCGUACCAAACUAUUCAGGGGUCGGCUUGUCCGUUAAAUGGUCGUCGGACGCGAGAGAUCGCGGCCGCUCGACCGGCCCCGCACGCGUUUUGUUUUUUAUAAACAUAUGUGUACCUGUCUGACCAAGCGUUGCGGCCGGCCCAAGGGUCGGUCGCRGCAAUUAGAGCAAAAAACGAGAUACAACUUUUGACGGUGGAUCUCUUGGCUCACGCAUCGAUGAAGAACGCAGCCAGCUGCGAUAAGUAGUGUGAAUUGCAGAAUUCAGUGAAUCAUCGAAUCUUUGAACGCAAAUGGCGCUCUUGGGUUCUCCCAGGAGCAUGUCUGUCUGAGUGUCGGAUAUCAUCCAACGCACGCCAGCGUGCGGAAUUGAGGCGUCACGGUCCGUACUGCACGGACCGUGUCCCUUGAAAGUCAGAGAGACUCGCCGCGUCGCGGGAAGAUUCCCCGUGCACACCAGCGGAGGCUAAAAUGUCUUUUGCCCUUCGCGUGCCGGGAAGUCGCCGCGUGCGGCGGUCGUCGUCGGGCGAUCCUUAUAUUAUCCUGCCCUCAGAUCACCCUUGGUGAA